rnacentral:rRNA from 1 species
AGAGUUUGAUCCUGGCUCAGGACGAACGCUGGCGGCGUGCUUAACACAUGCAAGUCGAGCGAUGAAACUUCCUUAGGGAAGUGGAUUAGCGGCGGACGGGUGAGUAACACGUGGGUAACCUGCCUCAAAGUGGGGGAUAGCCUUCCGAAAGGAAGAUUAAUACCGCAUAAUAUGAGAGAAUCGCAUGAUUUUCUCAUCAAAGAUUUAUUGCUUCGAGAUGGACCCGCGGCGCAUUAGCUAGUUGGUAAGGUAACGGCUUACCAAGGCAACGAUGCGUAGCCGACCUGAGAGGGUGAUCGGCCACAUUGGAACUGAGACACGGUCCAGACUCCUACGGGAGGCAGCAGUGGGGAAUAUUGCGCAAUGGGGGAAACCCUGACGCAGCAACGCCGCGUGGGUGAUGAAGGUCUUCGGAUUGUAAAGCCCUGUUUUCUAGGACGAUAAUGACGGUACUAGAGGAGGAAGCCACGGCUAACUACGUGCCAGCAGCCGCGGUAAUACGUAGGUGGCGAGCGUUGUCCGGAUUUACUGGGCGUAAAGGGUGCGUAGGCGGAUGUUUAAGUGGGAUGUGAAAUCCCCGGGCUUAACCUGGGGGCUGCAUUCCAAACUGGAUAUCUAGAGUGCAGGAGAGGAAAGCGGAAUUCCUAGUGUAGCGGUGAAAUGCGUAGAGAUUAGGAAGAACACCAGUGGCGAAGGCGGCUUUCUGGACUGUAACUGACGCUGAGGCACGAAAGCGUGGGUAGCAAACAGGAUUAGAUACCCUGGUAGUCCACGCCGUAAACGAUGGAUACUAGGUGUAGGGGGUAUCAACUCCCCCUGUGCCGCAGUUAACACAAUAAGUAUCCCGCCUGGGGAGUACGGUCGCAAGAUUAAAACUCAAAGGAAUUGACGGGGGCCCGCACAAGCAGCGGAGCAUGUGGUUUAAUUCGAAGCAACGCGAAGAACCUUACCUGGACUUGACAUCCCUUGCAUAGCCUAGAGAUAGGUGAAGCCCUUCGGGGCAAGGAGACAGGUGGUGCAUGGUUGUCGUCAGCUCGUGUCGUGAGAUGUUAGGUUAAGUCCUGCAACGAGCGCAACCCUUGUUAUUAGUUGCUACCAUUAAGUUGAGCACUCUAAUGAGACUGCCUGGGUAACCAGGAGGAAGGUGGGGAUGACGUCAAAUCAUCAUGCCCCUUAUGUCCAGGGCUACACACGUGCUACAAUGGUAGGUACAAUAAGACGCAAGACCGUGAGGUGGAGCAAAACUUAUAAAACCUAUCUCAGUUCGGAUUGUAGGCUGCAACUCGCCUACAUGAAGCUGGAGUUGCUAGUAAUCGCGAAUCAGAAUGUCGCGGUGAAUACGUUCCCGGGCCUUGUACACACCGCCCGUCACACCAUGAGAGCUGGUAACACCCGAAGUCCGUGAGGUAACCGUAAGGAGCCAGCGGCCGAAGGUGGGAUUAGUGAUUGGGGUGAAGUCGUAACAAGGUAGCCGUAGGAGAACCUGCGGCUGGAUCACCU